AUUUACAUUCCACAUUUGUUUUAUAAACAUUGUUAAUCAGUUUUUAUACAACGAUUAAACUAAAUAAGUAACACCACAGUCGUCGUGCGUCAUUUCUCCUCACCUGGGCAUAUCGAAGCAGAAACAGUACUUUUGUCAUUAUAUUUCUCUUUUAAUAUAAGUUUAUUUUGCUAGGUGGAGGGAUUGCCGAAAUAACUGACUUGACUCCAAUUCAGGAGAGGCUAUAUUCAAUUUUGGGACGAGAUGUGGUGAACCCAUACCAGGAGUUCGGCACAACCCCUUUAUUCCAAUUGAAAAUGCCGGUGAUAGUGGCUCUGCAUCAUAUCAUGACGGUGUAAAUGGCUUGGCAGGCUACGCAGCAGCUAGAACAAACUGCUCCGCGGCGACGUCAUCGUCGGCGGCGUCAAGAAGUGGAUUGCUGAACUAGAAGAGGAAUCUUCACUACGCACUGCCACCGAUAUGCUGGAAAAAUAUUGAGGUGGCCAGUGCAAAUGCUACGAAUAGGCUUGCUGCAGCCAUAGAAACCCUUGCGGCAAGGCUUAGUGAGCCUGUUCGCAUAGUGCUAGAGCAACCAGCAUCCACACAUACGAGACAACGUCCACAACGGGUAAGUUGCAUGUUGUGUGUAUAUAAUUUAAAAGUCUACUCAGGCCUUAUCAUAACUUGUUUUUGUUUUCAUUAAUCUAUUUCUACAUUUUCAGGUACAUAGAAGAAAUAGAAGGAUUAUUAUUAUUGAUUCUGAUAGUGAUUGAAUUAUUAAUGUAAAUAUUGUUGAUUAUUAUGUUGUGAUUGAUCUCUAUAUUAUUUUUUAGAUAUCAUCUUUUAUUGCCUUUAGUUAUUAGUAAAAGAAAUCUUUAAUAUGAAUGUAACUUUGAAUGAGCUCAUUAGUUUUUGUUUUUUUGUUUGUAUAUAUUUUUUUCCUUUAGUUAUUAGUCAAAUAGUUGUAGUUAAUACA
rnacentral:lncRNA from 1 species